GAGCACAAUACUUAUCUAUCAUUCUUUUAUUUCUCCUGUUGGUAUUCCUUCAGAGUCUACUUAUUUCACACAUUUAUCUCAGACUUCAUCCCAAACAACCCUAUAAAAAGCCACUUGUAUUGAGAAAGGUGGUCUGGUGGGUUUGAAUCAUCCCUCCAUGGGGGAAGAAAUUAUCCUGAAGAGAAGGCUAUAGGAAGAACUCCCUAGUUGAAAGGGAAGGCUCUGGAGUCAGAAGUCUUGAAUUUGAAUCCUAACUCUAAAAUGUAUCAACUGUGUGACCUCAAGUUAGUAGCUGGACUUCUGUGGCCUCAGUUUUCUCUCUGUUAGUUUUGGGUGCCAAGAGGAACUCCUUGAACUGUGAGAAGAUUAAAUGCAAAAACUGUAUGUAAUGUAAUGCACCUAGAACCAGGUCUGAUGCUUAAUGCAUAUUCAAGGAGUGUGAGCUAUUUUCAUAUGCUGUCAUUUUCAUGCAUGUGAAUAUGAAAGGGUGGGAGGGUCUAGGAAGGUGUUUAAAUCCCUUUGGUGCUCAGUUCCUUUAUUCUGCUUAGGGUGACCUCUAACAUUCCCUGGGCAACUCUACCUGCUUCCUUGGUAGGCUGGUUCCCAUUCCCUUAUGCCCUUUGCUGAUAUAUCAAUCAAUCGGGCAAACUAAUCAUCACAGAGAUGUUAGUGACUUUGACUUCUUAGAAACUAAUGAUGUAAGAAGUGCACUUCAGGCUGGAGACAGAUGGGUCCAUUCAGGUAACAUUUCUUUCCACACAGAUCAUCCCUGCAGCCUGGGCUGUGGCACCGAUGUGAGUUGGCCAUCUUAUACUAGUGGCUGCUUGGGUAUGUGGGUGAGGCUGUCCUAUUCAUGAUCCAGGGUCCUUGUGCACAUUUAUGACACCGUAUUUCUGCUUCCCUGCCUUUACUCUCCCUUUCCUUCCAGAUCAGAAUGGAAUAGGGCUCAUUAAAGAUUUAUAGGGUAAUACCAAUAAAGAACUUUAGGAGCUGGGCUUGGUCUGGAGAAGAACCAUUAGUAAAAAUCAACUCUAUGCUCUAGGAGCCUUUAGACAGCCACUGCUUCCAUUGGUGUUUAAUAUUUAUCGCUUCCUCAUAAUCUUUCAGCUGCUCUUUUGUUGACUUUAGGAAGACUGGGAGGAAAGUCCUAUGAAUAUUUAUUUUCUGCCACAUAAUAUAUUUAGUGUUUGGCUUGGAAGUUUAAGUUUUGUGUUCCUUACACAAAUUAUGAAUAAAAAAUAAAAAUCAUCAUCACUGCUUUCAGGCCAAACAUAUGUUAUCAUGUAACAAUGUAUUAUGUACAAGAGCACAACAUAACUUGCACAGGUUAGUCCUACAAGAAUGUGACACAACACAAUGAUAACACAGUAUUAAAGUGGAGCUAUGAAUGAAAAAAGAAUUUGUAAGUGCCC
rnacentral:lncRNA from 1 species